UCAAUGCUCUACAUUUGCUGGAAAGACUAUUGAAGAAAAGAAAGCCUUCAUUCACGAAACCCACCUCUGUUUCGGAUGUCUCAGAAAGGGACACAUGAGUAAAGACUGUAGAAGAAGACAUACAUGUGGUACGUGUGGUCGAAGUCAUCCUACCUGCUUACAUGAAGAAAGGGAUAAAGCUCCUUCAAAGGACCCUAAAGGGGCAUCUACGAAUGUUCAAGCAAGUGAGGAAGUUCAUAAAGUCAUGACCCACGCACUCACUCAAUGUUCUCCUGCUACUUCCAGCAUUGUGCCAGUUUUCAUCUCUACAGUGGACGAACCCCAAAGAGAAGUACUAACUUAUGCUCUACUUGACACCCAGAGCGACUCAAGUUUCAUCUUGGAAGAUCUUCUUGAAAGUUUGAAUGUUGUCUCACAACCUGUGCAAUUGAGGCUCAGCACCAUGACAGCUGCUGACACGAUCACUGCCAGUAAGAGAGUCUGUGGACUUAAAGUAAGAGGACUACAAUCUGCAAGUUCUAUACCACUACAGCAAGCAUACACAAGAGACUUCAUUCCAGUGGACAAGUCGUAUAUUCCCACCAAGCACACAGCGCUUCAGUGGAGUCACCUCAGACACUUAGCAAGUCAGCUGUCACCACUUUUGAACUGUGAAGUCGGACUUUUAAUCGGAUUUGACUGCCCAUCUGCUCUAGCUCCCUUGGAAGCCAUUAUAGGUGGUGAAAAUGAGCCUUUCGCGCAAAGAACUGUGCUUGGGUGGAGUAUUAUAGGCCUGUCUAAUCCACACCUUGACCGACAAGGAAAUCAGAGUUUUGUCCACCGUGUUGCAGUAAAGGAAAUACCUGUCCCAUCGCCCAAUGAUAUCCUGAAAAUUCUUGAGUCAGAUUUCAAUGAAAAGGCUUAUGAGGAUAAAUGUGUGUCACAAGAGGAUGUUCGUUUCAUACAGCACCUCAGUGCCAAUAUUCAUCAGAAGGAUAAUGGACAUUACGAGCUUCCUCUCCCAUUUAAGUGCAGCAGCCGACCCUCACUACCCAACAACAAAGGGCUAGCAACUGCUCGACUACAACACCUAAAGAAACGGCUCAAGUCCAAUAAACAGUAUUAUGAUCACUACAAGGCUUUCAUGGAAGAGAUGAUUAUCAAAGGUGAUGCAGAACAAGCUCCAGCUAUACUAAGUGGAGAGACAGUGUGGUACAUCCCACACCAUGGGGUGUACCACCCUCAGAAACCAAACAAGCUGAGGGUGGUAUUCGAUUGUUCAGCAAAGUUUCGUGGUAUAUCUCUAAAUGACACACUUUUGACUGGGCCUGAUCUAACCAAUUCCUUGGUGGGAGUGCUGUGCCGUUUCAGAAAGGAGCCAGUUGCAGUUACCUGUGACAUAGAGAAGAUGUUUCACCAGUUUCUCGUCCCACCUGAUGAACGCAAUUACCUGAGAUUCUUAUGGUGGGAGGGUGGAGACUUGGAGAAAGAGCCUCAAGAAUAUCGCAUGGCAGUCCACCUCUUUGGUGCCACGUCUUCACCUGGGUGUGCUAAUUUCGGCCUAAAGUACCUGGCACAGCAGCACAAGGUUAACUAUCCUUCAGCCUCAGCAUUCAUUGAGAAGAACUUUUAUGUGGAUGAUGGGUUAACCAGUGUUCCCUCAACCAGUGAAGCCAAAGAACUAAUAAUGCAAGCUCAAAGAGUGUGUAAACAUGGAGGUUUACGGCUUCACAAAUUUAACUCAAAUAAGGAAGAC
ensembl:lncRNA